rnacentral:rRNA from 1 species
UACGAAGGGGGCUAGCGUUGUUCGGAAUUACUGGGCGUAAAGCGCGCGCAGGCGGCGGUGCUGGCCCGGCGUGAAAGCCCCCGGCUCAACUGGGGAGGGUCGUCGGGGACCGCACCGCUUGAGGGCGGUAGGGGCUGGUGGAAUGCCUGGUGUAGUGGUGAAAUGCGUAGAGAUCAGGCGGAACACCCGUGGCGAAGGCGGCCAGCUGGGCCGUCCCUGACGCUGAGGCGCGAAGGCGUGGGGAGCGAACGGG